rnacentral:RNase_P_RNA from 2 species
AGCGGCGCUUGCGCGGCCGCUUCCUACCUGCCAGACUCGCAAAAAAGGGCGGUUGAACUUCCUAUACCCAAGAUACCGCCUACGUCUUCUUCGGAAGGCCGGUAAGGGUGAAAUGGUGCGGUAAGAGCGCACCGCGAGUCUGGCAACAGACCGGCACGGCAAACCCCACCUGGAGCAAGACCAAAUAGGGAUCCUUUGGCGCGGCCCGCGUUGGAUCCGGGUAGGUUGCUUGAGCGUUGCGGUGACGUAACGCCUAGAGGAAUGACUGUCCACGACAGAACCCGGCUUAUCGGCCGGCUCCGCCU